ACCAAGAGGCGCAAGAUGAACGACGAUAGACAGGUUCUUCCGAUUCUUGAGCACUCACCUUCUGUCAUCAUCACCAACCCCUACGGUGCUGCCGUUACCGACUUACCAGCGCCGCAUUGGGCUUCUUCUUCGGCGUGUCUGAACGAGAUUAUGAGCACCAGCGUGGCGAUUGGAAUUGGAAGGUUUCUCUCUGUCUCUCUCUCUCUCUUUCUUUCUCUCUCUCUCUCUCUCUCUC
rnacentral:lncRNA from 1 species